rnacentral:rRNA from 1 species
GAUGAACGCUGGCGGCGUGCCUAAUACAUGCAAGUCGAGCGAACAGACGAGGAGCUUGCUCCUCUGACGUUAGCGGCGGACGGGUGAGUAACACGUGGAUAACCUACCUAUAAGACUGGGAUAACUUCGGGAAACCGGAGCUAAUACCGGAUAACAUGUUGAACCGCAUGGUUCAACAGUGAAAGACGGUCUUGCUGUCACUUAUAGAUGGAUCCGCGCCGCAUUAGCUAGUUGGUAAGGUAACGGCUUACCAAGGCAACGAUGCGUAGCCGACCUGAGAGGGUGAUCGGCCACACUGGAACUGAGACACGGUCCAGACUCCUACGGGAGGCAGCAGUAGGGAAUCUUCCGCAAUGGGCGAAAGCCUGACGGAGCAACGCCGCGUGAGUGAAGAAGGUCUUCGGAUUGUAAAACUCUGUUAUUAGGGAAGAACAAAUGUGUAAGUAACUAUGCACGUCUUGACGGUACCUAAUCAGAAAGCCACGGCUAACUACGUG